AGUGAACGCUGGCGGUAGGCCUAACACAUGCAAGUCGAACGGCAGCACAGUAAGAGCUUGCUCUUACGGGUGGCGAGUGGCGGACGGGUGAGGAAUGCAUCGGAAUCUACUUUUUCGUGGGGGAUAACGUAGGGAAACUUACGCUAAUACCGCAUACGACCUACGGGUGAAAGCAGGGGAUCUUCGGACCUUGCGCGAUUGAAUGAGCCGAUGUCGGAUUAGCUAGUUGGCGGGGUAAAGGCCCACCAAGACGACGAUCCGUAGCUGGUCUGAGAGGAUGAUCAGCCACACUGGAACUGAGACACGGUCCAGACUCCUACGGGAGGCAGCAGUGGGGAAUAUUGGACAAUGGGCGCAAGCCUGAUCCAGCCAUACCGCGUGGGUGAAGAAGGCCUUCGGGUUGUAAAGCCCUUUUGUUGGGAAAGAAAAGCAGCAGGUUAAUACCCCGCUGUUCUGACGGUACCCAAAGAAUAAGCACCGGCUAACUUCGUG
rnacentral:rRNA from 1 species